UACGGAGGGUGCAAGCGUUGUUCGGAAUUACUGGGCGUAAAGGGCGCGUAGGUGGUUGUGUAAGUCAGAUGUGAAAUCCCGAGGCUCAACCUCGGAACUGCAUCUGAUACUGCACGACUCGAGUGCAGCAGAGGGAAACGGAAUUCCUGGUGUAGAGGUGAAAUUCGUAGAUAUCAGGAGGAACACCGGUGGCGAAGGCGGUUUCCUGGGCUGACACUGACACUGAGGCGCGAAAGCGUGGGUAGCAAACAGG
rnacentral:rRNA from 1 species